rnacentral:rRNA from 1 species
AUGAACGCUAGCUACAGGCUUAACACAUGCAAGUCGAGGGGCAGCAUGAACUUAGCUUGCUAAGUUUGAUGGCGACCGGCGCACGGGUGAGUAACACGUAUCCAACCUGCCGAUGACUCGGGGAUAGCCUUUCGAAAGAAAGAUUAAUACCCGAUGGCAUAGUUCUUCCGCAUGGUAGAACUAUUAAAGAAUUUCGGUCAUCGAUGGGGAUGCGUUCCAUUAGGUUGUUGGCGGGGUAACGGCCCACCAAGCCUUCGAUGGAUAGGGGUUCUGAGAGGAAGGUCCCCCACAUUGGAACUGAGACACGGUCCAAACUCCUACGGGAGGCAGCAGUGAGGAAUAUUGGUCAAUGGACGAGAGUCUGAACCAGCCAAGUAGCGUGAAGGAUGACUGCCCUAUGGGUUGUAAACUUCUUUUAUACGGGAAUAAAGUGAGGCACGUGUGCCUUUUUGUAUGUACCGUAUGAAUAAGGAUCGGCUAACUCCGUGCCAGCAGCCGCGGUAAUACGGAGGAUCCGAGCGUUAUCCGGAUUUAUUGGGUUUAAAGGGAGCGUAGGCGGACGCUUAAGUCAGUUGUGAAAGUUUGCGGCUCAACCGUAAAAUUGCAGUUGAUACUGGGUGUCUUGAGUACAGUAGAGGCAGGCGGAAUUCGUGGUGUAGCGGUGAAAUGCUUAGAUAUCACGAAGAACUCCGAUUGCGAAGGCAGCCUGCUGGACUGUAACUGACGCUGAUGCUCGAAAGUGUGGGUAUCAAACAGGAUUAGAUACCCUGGUAGUCCACACAGUAAACGAUGAAUACUCGCUGUUUGCGAUAUACAGUAAGCGGCCAAGCGAAAGCGUUAAGUAUUCCACCUGGGGAGUACGCCGGCAACGGUGAAACUCAAAGGAAUUGACGGGGGCCCGCACAAGCAGUGGAGUAUGUGGUUUAAUUCGAAGCAACGCGAAGAACCUUACCUGGGCUUGACAUCCCUGGAAUCGAGUAGAGAUACUUGAGUGCCUUCGGGAAUCAGGUGACAGGUGGUGCAUGGUUGUCGUCAGCUCGUGUCGUGAGAUGUUGGGUUAAGUCCCGCAACGAGCGCAACCCUUACUGUUAGUUGCUACGCAAGAGCACUCUAGCAGGACUGCCGUUGACAAAACGGAGGAAGGUGGGGAUGACGUCAAAUCAGCACGGCCCUUACGUCCGGGGCUACACACGUGUUACAAUGGGGGGUACAGAAGGCAGCUACACGGCGACGUGAUGCUAAUCCCUAAAGCCUCUCUCAGUUCGGAUUGGAGUCUGCAACCCGACUCCAUGAAGCUGGAUUCGCUAGUAAUCGCGCAUCAGCCACGGCGCGGUGAAUACGUUCCCGGGCCUUGUACACACCGCCCGUCACACCAUGAGAGCCGGGGGGACCCGAAGUCGAUAGUCUAACCGCAAGGAGGACGUCGCCGAAGGUAAAACUGGUGAUUGGGGUG